GCAGUGGUCAUUCAGUGGUAGAAUUCUUGCCUUCUAUGUGAGAGACACAGGUUUGAUUUCUGGACAAUGCA
rnacentral:tRNA from 1 species